rnacentral:tRNA from 1 species
UUAAUUGAAACCAAAUUAGAGGUAUAUCACUGUUAAUGAUACCACUGGAUUAAUUUAUCCCAAUUAAA